GGGUCGUUAGCUCAGACGGCAGAGCACCUGACUCUUAAUCAGGGUGUCACAGGUUCGAUUCCUGUACGACCCA
rnacentral:tRNA from 1 species